rnacentral:lncRNA from 1 species
GGGAAGUCUUGAGCUUCUUGGAUCAAAGAGGUUAAUCUUGGCAGUCUUGAAACCUGAAAUAAACCUUCAACCGUGUUCUUGUUUUCAUGGAACUUUGAUCUUGAAACCAAAUCUGUCCAAGUUGUUUACGUUAAUUGCUGUGAAAUUGUGGUCUAAGCUAGCUGGCUAUUGUGUGAAAACACCCCAACAGAAGUCAAAAAAAAAUUUCAAGAAAGACGGCUCUAGUUUCCAAUUCUUGACCAGCCUUCAAGUUUUACCAAAUCUGAUUCAAAGGUCAAAAAAAAAAAAUUUUCAAGAAAGACGGCUCUAGUUUCCAAUUCUUGACCAGCCUUCAAGUUUUACCAAAAUCUGAUUCAAACUUGGACUUUCAAAUCUGAACAGCCCUAGUCUUGGUCAGC